UGGGGAAUUUUGCACAAUGGGGGAAACCCUGAUGCAGCGACGCCGCGUGAUUUAGAAGGCCUUCGGGUUGUAAAAAUCUUUUUUACGGGAUGAAAAUGACAGUACCGUAAGAAUAAGGUCCGGCUAAAUACGUGACAGCAGCCGCGGUAAUACGUAUGGACCGAGCGUUGUCCGGAAUCAUUGGGCGUAAAGGGUACGUAGGCAGCCUAGUAAGUUAGAAGUGAAAUAAUAUAGCUCAACUAUAUAAAGCUUUUAAAACUGCUAGGCUUGAGAGAUGGAAGGGAAAGUGGAAUUCCUAGUGUAGCGGUGAAAUGCGCAGAUAUUAGGAAGAAUACCGGUGGCGAAGGCGACUUUCUGGUCAUCAUCUGACGCUGAGGUACGAAAGCGUGGGUAGCAAACAGG
rnacentral:rRNA from 1 species